CUUAUGGUCUGAAACAUCUGGACUUUUAAAGAAGGGACCAAGCGUCAAGAAUAUCUGAUGAAUAUUUGGCAGACAGCCAGAAAUUGACAAGCAUGCAGGUCUGCUGGGAAGGCAUCAUGCCAACCUUCCACCAUCAAUGAGCAAGUUCAGCAGAUUAAGAAGUAGGAGAAACUGACUAUUGAGCUCAAGAAGAAAACCUCUAUGGAGAUUUUCUUGUUGACUGGGCUCAUAGCUUCAGACCUGAAGUCAGGGAUAAUAUGGACAAUGGAGAUCCAUUUGAAAGAAGCUGCUUAACUUGGAGGAACAGGGAAACAGUGAGCAAGAGUAAGAUGUUUGUCCACCAGGUGAUCCCUUGCUGAGAACAAAGUCUCCUCUUCACAGCCUGAAAACUGGGCAGGCUGGGGUCUGCUGGGAAGGCAUCAUGCCAACCUUCCACCAUCAAUGAGCAUGUUCAGCAGAUUAAGAAGUAGGAGAAACUGACUAUUGAGCUCAAGAAGAAAACCUAAAAGCAGAAGCUGUGUUUGAAUAACAGACGAGAUAUGGCAAGCAGUGUGUGAGCUCUCAUCCUGGAUUUUAAUAGAGAGAGAUGCAUUUUCUGUCCUCAGAGGAACACAGAAAGUUGGUCAGCUACAGAAGCAC